rnacentral:rRNA from 1 species
CACAUGCAAGUCGGAGGGGUAGAGGAAGCUUGCUUCCUUGAGACCGGCGCACGGGUGCGUAACGCGUAUGCAACCUUACCUUUUACAGAGGGAUAGCCCAGAAGUAAAUUUGGAUUAAUACCUCAUGGUAUAUAUCAUUCGCAUGUUUGAUAUAUUAAGUUCCAACGGUAAAAGAUGGGCAUGCGUCCUAUUAGCUAGAUGGUAAGGUAACGGCUUACCAUGGCAACGAUAGGUAGGGGUCCUGAGAGGGAGAUCCCCCACACGGGUACUGAGACACGGACCCGACUCCUACGGGAGGCAGCAGUAAGGAAUAUUGGGCAAUGGACGCAAGUCUGACCCAGCCAUCCCGCGUGCAGGACGAAUGCCCUAUGGGUUGUAAACUGCUUUUGUUUGGGAAGAAAUGUAUUCUUUUAAGAGUAUUUGACGGUACCAGACGAAUAAGCACCGGCUAACUCCGUG